ensembl:snRNA U6atac minor spliceosomal RNA
AUGUUGUGUGAAAGCAGAGCAGGCUAGCACUCUCCUUCAUAAAGAUGAAAGUGGCCCUCAGGCUUAACAACGUACAUACAGUCAAGGCAUUGCCACCUCUUCAUUUCAUGAAACCAAUUCCUGUU